rnacentral:rRNA from 1 species
AGCGCACCUUCGGGUGAGCGGCGGACGGGUUAGUAACGCGUGGGAACAUGCCCUUCUCUAAGGAAUAGCCUCUGGAAACGGAGAGUAAUACCUUAUACGCCCUACGGGGGAAAGAUUUAUCGGAGAAGGAUUGGCCCGCGUUAGAUUAGUUAGUUGGUGGGGUAAUGGCCUACCAAGACUACGAUCUAUAGCUGGUUUGAGAGGAUGAUCAGCAACACUGGGACUGAGACACGGCCCAGACUCCUACGGGAGGCAGCAGUGGGGAAUCUUAGACAAUGGGCGCAAGCCUGAUCUAGCGAUGCCGCGUGAGUGACGAAGGCCCUAGGGUCGUAAAGCUCUUUCGCCAAGGAUGAUAAUGACAGUACUUGGUAAAGAAACCCCGGCUAACUCCGUGCCAGCAGCCGCGGUAAUACGGAGGGGGUUAGCGUUGUUCGGAAUUACUGGGCGUAAAGCGCGCGUAGGCGGACUUUUAGGUUAGAGGUGAAAUCCCGGGGCUCAACCCCGGAACUGCCUUUAAUACUGGAAGUCUCGAGUUCGAGAGAGGUGAGUGGAAUUCCGAGUGUAGAGGUGAAAUUCGUAGAUAUUCGGAGGAACACCAGUGGCGAAGGCGGCUCACUGGCUCGAUACUGACGCUGAGGUGCGAAAGUGUGGGGAGCAAACAGGAUUAGAUAUCCUGGUAGUCCACACCGUAAACGAUGAAUGCCAGACGUCGGGCAGUAUACUGUUCGGUGUCACACCUAACGGAUUAAGCAUUCCGCCUGGGGAGUACGGUCGCAAGAUUAAAACUCAAAGGAAUUGACGGGGGCC